rnacentral:rRNA from 1 species
UACGAAGGGUGCUAGCGUUGUUCGGAAUUACUGGGCGUAAAGCGCGCGUAGGCGGCUUUUCAAGUCAGGGGUGAAAUCCCACGGCUCAACCGUGGAAUUGCCUUUGAAACUGUGAAGCUAGAGUGUCGGAGGGGAUAGCGGAAUUGCUAAUGUAGAGGUGAAAUUCGUAGAUAUUAGCAGGAACACCGGUGGCGAAGGCGGCUAUCUGGACGACAACUGACGCUGAGGCGCGAAAGCGUGGGGAGCGAACAGG